AGAGUUUGAUCCUGGCUCAGGACGAACGCUGGCGGCGUGCUUAACACAUGCAAGUCGAGCGGAAAGGCCCUUCGGGGUACUCGAGCGGCGAACGGGUGAGUAACACGUGAGCAACCUGCCCUUAGCUCUGGGAUAGCUCCGGGAAACCGGAAUUAAUACCGGAUAUGACCAUGGCCGACAUCGGUUGUGGUGGAAAGAUUUAUCGGCUGGGGAUGGGCUCGCGGCCUAUCAGCUUGUUGGUGGGGUAAUGGCCUACCAAGGCGACGACGGGUAGCCGGCCUGAGAGGGCGACCGGCCACACUGGGACUGAGACACGGCCCAGACUCCUACGGGAGGCAGCAGUGGGGAAUAUUGCGCAAUGGGCGGAAGCCUGACGCAGCGACGCCGCGUGGGGGAUGAAGGCCUUCGGGUUGUAAACCCCUUUCGGCAGGGACGAAGCGGAAGUGACGGUACCUGCAGAAGAAGCACCGGCUAACUACGUGCCAGCAGCCGCGGUAACACGUAGGGUGCAAGCGUUGUCCGGAAUCAUUGGGCGUAAAGAGCUCGUAGGCGGUCUGUCACGUCUGCUGUGAAAACUCGGGGCUUAACCCCGAGCUUGCAGUGGAUACGGGCAGACUAGAGGUAGGUAGGGGAGAAUGGAAUUCCCGGUGUAGCGGUGAAAUGCGCAGAUAUCGGGAGGAACACCGGUGGCGAAGGCGGUUCUCUGGGCCUUACCUGACGCUGAGGAGCGAAAGCGUGGGGAGCGAACAGGAUUAGAUACCCCCGUAGUCC
rnacentral:rRNA from 1 species